AGGAAGGCCCCAUUUUGAUAUUUUUCUAAAAAUGACGCAUUCCGACUUUUUCGCCUUUGAAAGUCACCCUGGAAAAGCAAUAUGGAUGACUGAUAUGAGUGACUCUGUAUCUUGUUCUUCAUUUGACUUCCGACCGUCUUCACGCGCGACUUCAACCGCAGGCAGCUUCCACACAAUGGACACAAAUACGACUGGAGUUCCGUGGUUCAAAAGUGACCGACCGGCGUUCACCCUGGGCCAUAUUCUCAGCCCACUUAGAAUCUGCACACACACACACUCUCACCUCGACGUCUUCUGACCGACCCUGCUGCACGUCACCCGUGAGCCCGUCUGGCGGAGGCAAAGCAAAACCUCGGAAGGGGGCGGAGAGGCUUAUGCGCAAUUAAUUCCGACAGGCUGGAGGCGGCAACAACCGGAGCGGACAAACCAGCGGAGAGAGCGACCGAGCGCAGGCGAGAAAACUUGGGAGCAACGACGACAAGGUCGCAUCCGUCCGGGUGAGCCGAGCGCACCUCAUCCAACUUGCUCCGUGCAAUCCAAAACGCCUUGGAUCAAAAUUCAUCUCCCGUUUGACAGAAGAGUCACGAGCGUUUUGGCCGGGACGACCGUCUUGGGUUUCUGAGGCAAGUUCACCUCCCGCUAAGCCUUCCAAUGUUUGUUUUGGCCCGCUAAUCCACUUUGCCUUCGGCCGGGCGCGCCGGCACCGGAUGCAAAGUGGAUUGAAAUG